GAGGAGAUUGCCAGAGGGACAUGUGCCAGCCAGCUGAGUCUUCUUCGGAAGAGUCAGAGCUAGAGGGGGAGGACGUGGAAGUCCUUGAGUCAGGGAAGGAUGACCCUAACUCUGAGAAGGAGGAUCUUCACCCUGAGUCAGAGAUAGCUCCUGUUGUAAACGUUGAGGGCUCUGAUCCAAGGGAUUCCGAGCUUCCUUCAGAUGUGACUGCCAGUAGAAAUAAUGUAGGCGAGGGUGUUCUUACUGAUGUAAGUCCUUUGAGGACUAUUUAUC
rnacentral:lncRNA from 1 species